CCACCUAGCAUUAAUCAGAGGGACAUCUUUGAAGCCUCUAAGCACAAAUGAGGUAGACAUGGAGGAAGCAAUUACUACAUUUGACUCUUCAAGCACAAGGCUGAAAGUCUAACCAUCCACACUAGCAAAAAAGCUGUAAAAGGAAGUGUUGUCCUUAUUUUUGUGACUUUUGCUUACUGGAAAAGACAUGUUUUUGGAAUCAAGUUUAUACAGCUUUGCUCGGUAGGGAGGACUGAUCAUCACGAACUAAGAAGGAUAAAGUAACGAAGAUGAUAUGCAGAUUAUUCAGCUUUUUUUGCCGGCCUCAACGUUGUACAUUCACACUUACUUCAAAAUACCUCCCUGCUAUCUGGUUUUUGCAAUAGCAAAGGUUGGCUACU